rnacentral:rRNA from 1 species
UGGGGAAUAUUGGACAAUGGGCGCAAGCCUGAUCCAGCCAUGCCGCGUGGAUGAUGAAGGCCUUAGGGUUGUAAAGUCCUUUUAACGGGGAAGAUAAUGACGGUACCCGUAGAAUAAGCCCCGGCUAACUUCGUGCCAGCAGCCGCGGUAAUACGAAGGGGGCUAGCGUUGCUCGGAAUCACUGGGCGUAAAGCGCACGUAGGCGGAUCUUUAAGUCAGGGGUGAAAUCCUGGAGCUCAACUCCAGAACUGCCUCUGAUACUGGGGAUCUUGAGUCCGGAAGAGGUAAGUGGAACUGCGAGUGUAGAGGUGAAAUUCGUAGAUAUUCGCAAGAACACCAGUGGCGAAGGCGGCUUACUGGUCCGGUACUGACGCUGAGGUGCGAAAGCGUGGGGAGCAAACA